UUCAGAAGCAUUCAUUUGGUUGAGGCCUGUACUACUAAGUCAGUUCAACAUACCCAGGGUAUCUUCUCGUUAUCUGGUUUAACUAACCCUAACAAAUGAGAUCCCACUAAGCGCUCCUACGACGGUGGUGAUCAACUCGGUAAAUCAACCCAGGGUUUCUCAUUCUGGCUAUGAGUGCGUUCACAUGAACGGAGAGGUUAGCAGCAUCUGACCAAUCACAGACAUGGACAAGUC